rnacentral:lncRNA from 1 species
AUGCACGAUUGAUAGAAACAAUAUUAGAAUUACGUUUAGGAAAUUAGAAUGGGAAAUUAGAAUGAUUCCACGUUUAGAAUUGAUGUUUACAAAGGCUGACAUCACCUCUCUCCUCCUCCUCUUUAAAGCAGAGUUGGACAAUUCCACCAUGGCUUCACCAGGGGAGAAGGCUCUCCUCCUCCUCUUCCUAGUCCAUGCAGUCUCAGCCCUCUACCCAGAUACAAUGUCACCGAUGUCUCCCAUGAUGCUUGACCCUGACCCCUCGACCCCAGGCUUCCCAUCUACGCCCGCUCGCUUCCAAGACAUGGCCAAGAAACUGAUGAUGAGAUGCCUGCAAAUGGGACACCUGUUACCCAUGACAAUGGACAACCCCUUUAAUAACAGUGGGGUGCAAAUGGAAGACAGCAUGUCUCGUCCCAACCCUCUCUCCCACUUCCACUCUCUCCUCACCUCCCUCUCUGCUGAGGAAACAGAUACCUACUCAGACACAGACAUGGACUCUGCUUCCCGCUUCUAUUUCCAGCCCAAUAGCACCAUGAAAUACCCUGACGCUGACCGUGAAUGGAACGUGACAGAGAGGUUGUGGAACUGUUCCAGUCUACCAAGCUUCAUUGAGCACAUGAGGAACUCUUCGGCUGGUCCCCAGUGUUUCCUGAGAGCGUUCAUCGCCCCCCUCUCUUGGGUUGCCCUGAUGAUGAAGGGUGGAGACGACAUGGAACCAGAAGAUUAUGGGAGGCUGGUGUGGGCCGCUAAACCCCUCCUACAGAACAUGCCCCCACCACAGAUGACCCUGCCUCCCUGGAUACAGAACCCCCACCUGGAAGAGAUGAUGAAGAUGCUGGGAGAGGUGUUUGGGUCUCUCUCUGAGGAGCAGCGUGUUCAGAUCAGAGAGUGGGCCAAGGAACGGGUGGCCCAGAACAACUACAACUGUAGCCACACUGCUGCAGCCUGGCGCCCCAGACCCAUACCAGAACAGAAACCAGGACAGACACACAGACCAGAACAGGAACCAGGACAGACGCACAGACCAGAACAGGAACCAGGACAGACACACAGACCAGAACAGAAACCAGGACAGACACACAGACCAGAACAGGAGCCAAGACAGACACUCAGACCAGAAGUAGGACCGAACUGGCCUGCUAGACCACCACAGCCUGAUAUGACAGUAAUGCCCAGCCCCUGUCCUCCCAGGCUGCUGUGGCUGAAGAUGGAUGUGAUGAAGAUGAUGGGGCCCUUCCUUUCCGGGCUGCCCAUGGACGACAUCCAAACCAUCCCCAACGACCAGGUCUUUGUUUGUUGUAGUUCUCCCCACUCUGCUUUUUAA